rnacentral:misc_RNA from 1 species
AGCCAGUGAAAUGGAAGAACUUUUCCCAUGUUAGUACUGCACCAAUUGAGUGUCCUGAAACGUUUAUAGGUGAUGAUCACUCUGGUGUGUACAUAGUAACGGGAGCACAGCUUGGUGUCUGGGAGUUUGGGUCAAGAAAUGUGUUGUAUAUGAAGCUUCUGUAUUCAAGGCUACCAGGAUGCACAAUACGAAGAUCACUAUGGGACCAUACCCCGAAUGAUAAGUCGAACAAAAAGAUCAAUUGUGAGAAUAGCAAUGGCGAUGCUAGUUCUGUUACAGGGGAGAAUAUUGUAGGCAAUAAGUUGGCUAAGUUUGUUGACAUGACCGAGAUGAGUAAGGGGCCUCAAGAUCCUCCUGGCCACUGGUUAGUAACAGGUGGAAAACUUGGUGUCGAAAAGGGGAGAAUUGUUUUGAGAUUGAAGUAUUCCUUGUUAAAUUAUUAGUUGAUACUGCUUCUGAACAUGCUGCAUUUGGUUCUAUAAGAAAGUAAUGAUGGCGUGUUGGUGUAUAUGGUUCGGGUUUUCUUCUUCUUGUGCAUGUUUACCAUCAUUGUUUGAUGGUAGAGUUCCCUUCGAAAGAAGAAUGUAUACCUUAGGUAGUUAUGUGUAAAUUUCUUCAAAUUUUGACAAUUGUAUGUUUUCAUCAUAUGUAGUAAUAUGUGGGAAAUGUUACUUCCAG